UCAUCACAGAAAUUUCCUACAGGCACCAAACCCUUAACCCUUAGUCGCCCCCCCCCCAAAAAAAAUAGGGAAAAAUAUGGUGAACAAGAGAAGAGAAUAGCCAACGGCUUGUGCUGAAAUUCAUAAGCAACUUAAAGGUAAGAAAAGAAUCAUCCUUUUACUAGUCCCCCUCCCCCACCCUCACCUCUACUCUCCCACCUCUCCACCCGCCAUCCCUGCCAAAUCCUAGGUAAGGCUCUGAAGGAAAUCCCUGUAUGCAUUAGCGGGGACUAUAAAAUCAUUGUUUACAGAUGCCCUGUGUUUGAUCCCACUCAGCCUCUAAGCCUCUAAGGUGCAAACGUCAGAACCAAAAACAAACAAAAGACUAUCAAAAUGGAAAUAGGGAAAGAAAAAUUCUCCAGAUCCUCUGGCCUCCAGGUUUUCCGAAAAGAGGGUGUGUGUGUGUGUGUGUGUGUGUGUGUGUGUUUUCUCCACAGUGUGGUAUGAUAGAAUGAGCUGGAACUUUGGUGUCAGAUCCUGAUAUUAGCAAUCCAUUUCCACCAUGUAUAGCUUUAGGACCAUGGCAAGUUAUGUAACAUUUUGAACCUCAGUUUUCUCCUGCCUGCCUUGCUACUUGUGAAGAUUGAAGAUGGAGAGACUGGCCUAUUAGAAGGUACUCAAUAAAUGUUAGGUCCAAUUUUUGUUGAUUCCAGAACACUCUCAGUCUUUUUUAGGCCCAAGAUUAUGCCCAGCCAGAAUUUUUGUUGUUGUUCGUUUUUAUCCUUGUGUGUGUGUGUGUGUGUGUGAAAAAAGAUGUGUGCAUCAUUCAUCAUCCCUGGUCUGGGUGAAAUUUCACUAACAGAUUUAUAUAACAUCCCUCCACUGAAGACCAGAACCUAAUGCACUGGAUCCUUUGACUUUCUGUUGCAAAGCAGAUAUCAACAUAGAACCAGUAUAUUUUCUGUAUAAAAAUAUAAUAAAGCAGUUUUAUCUUACCUUAGGUUAUGGCCUAAUAAUAACAAAUCAUAAUGAAAAAAGUACAUAAGGUCUCCAGGAAAUGUUCAAAUAAUAAUUGAGCAGCCACCCAGAGAAAAUAUAACCUAGCAGUUCUCAUCUCAUCAAUGAAAACUGUUCCUGUAUAGUCCUAGAUGUGUCUUCACCACAUACCUCUAAGUCACAUUACAAAAAAAAAAUCGCUCUCCCCUUUUUAUAACAAGAGAAACUGGGGCUUAGAAGGAAACGGUGAUUCAUCCUCAUAACAACUUCAUGAAUUAGUAACUAUGCUACCACCAUUUUACAUGUGAAGUACAUCCAACCUAAGGAAAAGCUGGAAGUAACCUGAUGUUUUUCUCAUCCCCUAUUUGAUACUCCAACAGUCCUCCUAGCAAUAUUAAUAAAAUGCUGCAAGGGUAAGUUACUAUUGCUAAAAAUUUUUCAAGCUAAAGAAAGGGGAUCUUUAAUUUAGAUCAGUUUGGCGACCUAACAUAAGCACUGUGCUUUCCAAACCUAGAUAACUACCACUGCAGGAAAUCUGCAUUUGUUUAUGAAUCAAUUAUGCUACCCAGGGUGUAGCUACUACGUGAGUGAAGAUGAUUCAUUUGUUCCCAGGACUAGUUUCCUCUUGCUUCACAAUUUCUCCCCUUCUAUUCAAAUUCUGUUGCUAAUCAAGCCUGACUUUACCAUUACCACCACCUCCCUGAUCAUACUAGUUUACUUAAAAUCCUUUUGGUCUACUACAAUUUCAGUCCAUUAUUGGUGGCUCUUCCUACUCAGUUUGCUCCCUGCACCUGAAAUACUUCUCAUCUGCUUUUCUUCUGUCAUAAAUCUCCUUUUCAUAUUAAUAUCUUGGCCUGCAGUCAAUUGACUUGAUUACCCUACUCUCAAUUUUUCAUUGAUUUUCAUUAUUAUUUAGUGACUCAAAAAUACCUCUUUAUUCCCAUGCUGUUUGGUCUACCUCCUCACUUUCAUUUUUAUGCCAUAAACAUCCUUUAGAAAGCCAGUAUUCUAAGAAUGGUUUUUUUCAAGUUAGUUUAAAGUCACCCUUACCAAAAUUUUCUUGGCUCUUUAGAACAUGUUCUUUGGAGCUAGGGUUAUGGCUCAGUGGUAGAGUGUUCGCCUCACAUGUGGGAGGCCCUCGGUUUGAUCCUCAGCACCACAUAAAAAUAAAUAAAUAGAUAAAAUAAAGGUAGAAUGUGUUCUUUAAAAUUCAGACCAAACCAGACAUAGUAGUGCUCAUCUGUGAUCUUAGCUACUCUGAAGGCUGAGGCAGGAGGAUUAUUCUACCCCAGGAGUUUGAGGCCAGUAUAGGUGAUAUAACAAGAUCCCAUCUCAAAAUAAAAUAAAAUCCAGGCCAAAAAAAUAUCCAUUUCCUGGCUUGGUGAAUGGCACCAUCAUCCUCCCAGUUGCCCAAUCCAAAAAUCUGUGGUUCCUCCUUUACUCCUGUGUCCUGAACAAUAGGCCAUGAAGCCUAAUAAAUUCUGUUUUCUUGCUUUUUAAAUUUCUCUCCUCUCCAAUUCUACUACUAACUUUGGUCUAGGGUAUAUGCUAAAUUAUAGGUGUACUAAAGGAAGAGAGAAAGAGGAAUGAAUGAAUAUUGUAUUUGUGUACAAGAGUAUAUAAUGUAUAUAGUGUAUAUAAAAAUUUGUUUAAAGGGAAAUGCAGAAGCUCUACCCAAUUUAUAACUAGUCAUCGCUACAGUGUUAAUAUCUAUUGAUUUGUAUGUCUCCCCUACCAGAAUGUGAGCCUGUGGGCCAGGUUCAGUAUUUGAUUCAUCUCAGUGUCCUCGGAUUAAUUCUCAGCCUGGGUACUGUUAAACAGACCUGAACCUCCUUGAGCUAGCUAGCCUGAAUCCCAACUGCUGAGUGAUUAUUUUAGGCUGUUCACCUUAACUUUCAGGACCUACCAAAAAUAAGAAUCCCCCUCAACUGGUACAAUCCAGAUCUGAGCCCAGCCUGCUAGCACCAGGUAUGAUCUCCUGCACCCUUCUGCAGCACCAACACUAUCCAGAGUUAAAUCCAGAAUUUACAGUCUGUUACCAAACAGAUGCACCUUAGAGCAAGCCAGAAGUCAGUAAAGCAUCCCAAACUUAAAAAGGAACUUGGACAUUUAGGAACUUGUUAUGUCACUUUAGUCAUUAAAAAUAAUAAUAAUAAUAAUAAAGCAAUUCCUGUUCUCAGACUCAAGCAUGAAGUAAUCAAAUAUAUGAACAAAGGUAUAUGAAAAAAGACAUGUAUUUUAUGUUUUACUAUAGGCUUAUAACAUGAAUAUGUGAGGAAAAAACUAAAUAAACGAAAUUACAACACCUCUACACAAAGAAAUAUUACGCCUCCAUUAACAAUGUAUUUUAAAGAAUUUUAAGUAAUAAUGAAAUCUGUUCAUGAUUUAAUAGCAAAGUAAUAAAAACAGAUUUAGUAAAAAGACUACUGUAUGAACCCAAUUAUGUUUUUUAUAUAUUUGUAAAAUAUAUAAUUAUAAUAUUCAGAAAAAGUGGUCCAAAAUGUUACAUGUUUCUGGGAUUUUUUUUACUUUUAUUUUGAAAUUAUUUCAGAUUUAAAGAAAAGUUGGAAAAAUAGUGCCAAAUAUUUACCACAUACCUUUCACCCAUAUCUAACCACAUUUGCUUUAUCAGUCUCUCUCAUGCUUACUCAAUUUUCUUUUAUCUAGAUAGACAUAUCUAGAGGCUAUUGUAAUUAUUUUUUGAUCCAUUUAUCCCUAAAUAUUUUUCAGUUCCCUCAAAACAGAGUGCAAAAAUGACAGUAUAAUUAUCAAAAUUAGAAACUUAACCGUGAUACAGUACUAUGAUAUAAUCUAUGACCUUAUUCUGAUUUUACCAGUUAUAUUAGUAUUUUUUAUAGAAAACAAAAAACAAUAUUUUUUUGUUCUGGUCUAGAAUGCAGUGCAUGAUUCCAAAUUAUAAUUAGUUGUCAAGUUUCUUUAAUUUUAAUUAAUCUGGAGCAGUUUCUCAGUCUUUCUCUUUUAUGACCUUGACUUUUUUUAGAGUAUAGUUUAUAUAUUUAUAAAGUUUCUCCCAAUUUGAGUUUAUUUCUUUAUGAUAAGAUUCAUGGUGUGCAUUUUUGGCAGGAAUACUACAAUACUGAUGUGUCCUUCUCAGUGAAUUAUACCAGAAGACAUCGUGAUACCUGUAUGUCCCAUCAGUGGUGAUAGCAACCUUGUUCACUUAAUUAAAGUGUAAUCUGCCUGGUUUUUCCACCAUAAAAUAACUAUUUUUACCUCCAUAAUAAAUAUCUGGGGGGGGUGGGUGGUCAUUUGAACCUACUCAAAGGCUUUAGCAUUUAUUGAUGAUUCUUUUUAUUUUAAAUAUUUUUUUAGUUGUCAAUGUACCUUUAUUUUUUUUUAAUUUAUAUGUGGUGCUGAGAAUUGAACCCAGUGAAUCACAUAUGCUAGGCAGGUGCUUUACCACUAAGCUACAAUCCCAGCUCUAUUAACGAUUCUUACUUGAAACAAUUAUUGCUAUAGUAAUUGCCAAAUGAUAACUUUUUACUUCCAUCAUUAUCAUUUGUCAUCCUAUUUUUUUUAUCUUUCUGCUGUGUAAGAGAUCUUUUUGGUUCUCCAUUUAUUCAUUUAUCAAUAUAUUUAUAUCAAAAUGAAUUCAUUGUUUUUUAUUGUAGUAAUUACAUAGUCAUUACUACCAUUGUUUAUAUUGAGUUGUUUACAUGAGUUUGCUUACAUAAGUUGUAGAUUUGGUUGACUUCUAUGUUCUUUUAGCAUUUUUUCAUCAUUUUCUAAAUUUUUCCAUAUUUUUAUUGGUGCAUUAUAGUUGAAAUAAUAGAAGGAUUUGUUGUUACAUAUUAUGAAGACACACAAUAUAAUCAUAUAAUUUGGCCAAUAUUUCCCCUUUCCCUCCCCUCCUCUUGCCCCCUGGUCUCUUCCUCUACUGAUCUCCCUUCCAUUUUCGUGAAAUUCCCCUACCUGCUUUCUUUUCCUUUUUUUCCUGUCUAGUUUCUUGUGGACAAUGGUAUUUAGAAAUAAAGAUCCAAGUGCUGAAUGUCCUCACUGCUACUCUGAUGCCAUUGCUUCCAUGCUCUUUCAGUGAACAGAGCUAGAAAAUACACAUAUUCCCCACUUUUACUUGAACAUUAUUUUUACUUCCAAGAAUUACAGACAAACUAUGGUUAUUUAGACCUGGGAAUAUGGCAGACAUUUUCAGGAAGUAAACAAAGGGAGCCUGGUACAUCAAGGAAAACAACUAACAAUGUUUGUGGCUCAUGAUAAAAUUCAGACUUCAAAUAAAUACUGGAAUUUUGAGAAACUUGUUUUUACCACCAUGAACUUUAGUUUCCCAAAUUUUCUGAAGGUAGUUAUAUUAAAAAAUGUUGUGGAGGAUUUUUUUAAUGUUGUAUAAUAAAAUGUGUCAACAUUUGGAAACUUUGCAUGACCCCAGUGAAUACCAACAUUUUUUUCAAAUGACCAAUGAAUGAUGUUAUACAAGUAUGUAUGAGUAAAAUAUACCUUUAAAAUGUAAUAUAGGGGGGCUGGGAUUGUGGCUCAGCGGUAGAGCGCUCGCCUAGCACGUGUGAGGCCCUGGGUUUGAUCCUCAGCACCACAUAAAAAAUAAAUAAAUAAAAUAAAGGUAUUGUGUUCAACUACAACUAAAAAAUUUUUUUAACUAGUUAAAAAUAAGAUAAAGAGAUUUACUAAAAUGUCAAUAAUGCUUCUCUCAC
rnacentral:lncRNA from 1 species